GGGGGUGUAGCUCAAUGGUAGAGCUGUGUGCUUAGCAUGCACAUUGUCUUGGGUUUGAUCCCCCUUACCUCCA
rnacentral:tRNA from 1 species